rnacentral:ncRNA from 1 species
AGCGACAACGGCAAACCCUCCGCAAGGAGGGGACGCAAAGCCAACGGGACCCACGCAGGUCAGCCGAGCUACCGAAC